AUUCCGGUUGAUCCUGCCGGAGGACAUUGCUAUUGGGAUUCGAUUUAGCCAUGCUAGUCGAACGAGUUUAGACUCGUGGCGAAUAGCUCAGUAACACGUGGCCAAGCUCCCCUUCAGUCAGCGAUACCCUCGGGAAACUGAGGUUAACAGCUGAUACAAAACGCCAGCUGGAAUGCGGCGUUUCAGAAAGACAUCGCUGAAGGAUGCGGCUGCGGCCGAUUAGGUUGACGGUGGGGUAACGGCCCACCGUGCCAGUAAUCGGUACGGGUGAUGAGAGUCAGAGCCCGGAGACGGAAUCUGAGACAAGAUUCCGGGCCCUACGGGGCGCAGCAGGCGCGAAACCUUUACACUGCACGAAAGUGCGAUAGGGGAAUCCCAAGUGCGAGGGCAUAUUAGCCCUCGCUUUUCUCGACUGUAAGGUGGUCGACGAAUAAGAGCUGGGCAAGACCGGUGCCAGCCGCCGCGGUAAUACCGGCAGCUCAAGUGAUGUCCCAUAUUAUUGGGCCUAAAGCGUCCGUAGCU
rnacentral:rRNA from 1 species